UACGUAGGUGGCAAGCGUUGUCCGGAUUUACUGGGCGUAAAGAGCGCGCAGGCGGUCGUUCAAGUCGCGUGUGAAAGCCCCCGGCUCAACUGGGGAGGGUCACGCGAUACUGAUCGACUCGAAGGCAGGAGAGGGUAGUGGAAUUCCCGGUGUAGUGGUGAAAUGCGUAGAUAUCGUAAGGAAGACCAGUGGCGAAGGCGGGUCUCUGGACAGUUCCUGACGCUGAGACGCGAAAGCGUGGGGAGCAAACAGGG
rnacentral:rRNA from 1 species